GGAUGUUAGUUUAUUAGCAAAGAAUAUUCUUUUUGCAAAAGAAAGGGGUUUUUCAGAAAUACAUCUC
rnacentral:tRNA from 1 species